GACGAACGCUGGCGGCGUGCUUAACACAUGCAAGUCGAACGGAAAGGCCCUGCUUUUGUGGGGUGCUCGAGUGGCGAACGGGUGAGUAACACGUGAGUAACCUGCCCUUGACUUUGGGAUAACUUCAGGAAACUGGGGCUAAUACCGGAUAGGAGCUCCUGCUGCAUGGUGGGGGUUGGAAAGUUUCGGCGGUUGGGGAUGGACUCGCGGCUUAUCAGCUUGUUGGUGGGGUAGUGGCUUACCAAGGCUUUGACGGGUAGCCGGCCUGAGAGGGUGACCGGCCACAUUGGGACUGAGAUACGGCCCAGACUCCUACGGGAGGCAGCAGUGGGGAAUAUUGCACAAUGGGCGGAAGCCUGAUGCAGCAACGCCGCGUGCGGGAUGACGGCCUUCGGGUUGUAAACCGCUUUCGCCUGUGACGAAGCGUGAGUGACGGUAAUGGGUAAAGAAGCACCGGCUAACUACGUGCCAGCAGCCGCGGUGAUACGUAGGGUGCGAGCGUUGUCCGGAUUUAUUGGGCGUAAAGGGCUCGUAGGUGGUUGAUCGCGUCGGAAGUGUAAUCUUGGGGCUUAACCCUGAGCGUGCUUUCGAUACGGGUUGACUUGAGGAAGGUAGGGGAGAAUGGAAUUCCUGGUGGAGCGGUGGAAUGCGCAGAUAUCAGGAGGAACACCAGUGGCGAAGGCGGUUCUCUGGGCCUUUCCUGACGCUGAGGAGCGAAAGCGUGGGGAGCGAACAGGCUUAGAUACCCUGGUAGUCCACGCUGUAAACGGUGGGUACUAGGUGUGGGGUCCAUUCCACGGGUUCCGUGCCGUAGCUAACGCUUUAAGUACCCCGCCUGGGGAGUACGGCCGCAAGGCUAAAACUCAAAGGAAUUGACGGGGCCCCGCACAAGCGGCGGAGCAUGCGGAUUAAUUCGAUGCAACGCGUAGAACCUUACCUGGGUUUGACAUGGAUCGGGAGUGCUCAGAGAUGGGUGUGCCUCUUUUGGGGUCGGUUCACAGGUGGUGCAUGGCUGUCGUCAGCUCGUGUCGUGAGAUGUUGGGUUAAGUCCCGCAACGAGCGCAACCCUUGUUCACUGUUGCCAGCACGUUAUGGUGGGGACUCAGUGGAGACCGCCGGGGUCAACUCGGAGGAAGGUGGGGAUGACGUCAAGUCAUCAUGCCCCUUAUGUCCAGGGCUUCACGCAUGCUACAAUGGCUGGUACAGAGAGUGGCGAGCCUGUGAGGGUGAGCGAAUCUCGGAAAGCCGGUCUCAGUUCGGAUUGGGGUCUGCAACUCGACCUCAUGAAGUCGGAGUCGCUAGUAAUCGCAGAUCAGCAACGCUGCGGUGAAUACGUUCCCGGGGCUUGUACACACCGCCCGUCAAGUCAUGAAAGUUGGUAACACCCGAAGCCGGUGGCCUAACCGUUGUGGGGGAGCCGUCGAAGGUGGGACUGGUGAUUAGGACUAAGUCGU
rnacentral:rRNA from 1 species